rnacentral:rRNA from 1 species
CGGAGGGGCUAGCGUUGUUCGGAAUUACUGGGGCGUAAAGCGCGCGUAGGCGGCUUUGUAAGUUAGAGGUGAAAGCCCGGAGCUCAACUUCGGAAUUGCCUUUAAGACUGCAUCGCUAGAAUCGUGGAGAGGUGAGUGGAAUUCCGAGUGUAGAGGUGAAAUUCGUAGAUAUUCGGAAGAACACCAGUGGCGAAGGCGACUCACUGGACACGUAUUGACGCUGAGGUGCGAAAGCGUGGGGGAGCAAACAGGAUU